AGCAAACAGGAUUAGAUACCCUGGUAGUCCACGCUGUAAACGAUGUCGAUUUGGAGGUUGUUCCCCUGAGGAGUGGCUUCCGGAGCUAACGCGUUAAAUCGACCGCUGGGGAGUACGGCCGCAAGGUUAAAACUCAAAUGAAUUGACGGGGGCCCGCACAAGCGGUGGAGCAUGUGGUUUAAUUCGAUGCAACGCGAAGAACCUUACCUACUCUUGACAUCCAGAGAAUUUAGCAGAGAUGCUUUAGUGCCUUCGGGAACUCUGAGACAGGUGCUGCAUGGCUGUCGUCAGCUCGUGUUGUGAAAUGUUGGGUUAAGUCCCGCAACGAGCGCAACCCUUAUCCUUUGUUGCCAGCACGUUAUGGUGGGAACUCAAAGGAGACUGCCGGUGAUAAACCGGAGGAAGGUGGGGAUGACGUCAAGUCAUCAUGGCCCUUACGAGUAGGGCUACACACGUGCUACAAUGGCGUAUACAAAGAGAAGCGACCUCGCGAGAGCAAGCGGAACUCAUAAAGUACGUCGUAGUCCGGAUUGGAGUCUGCAACUCGACUCCAUGAAGUCGGAAUCGCUAGUAAUCGUAGAUCAGAAUGCUACGGUGAAUACGUUCCCGGGCCUUGUACACACCGCCCGUCACACCAUGGGAGUGGGUUGCAAAAGAAGUAGGUAGCUUAACCUUCGGGAGGGCGCUUACCACUUUGUGAUUCAUGACUGGGGUGAAGUCGUAACAAGGUAACCA
rnacentral:rRNA from 1 species